rnacentral:rRNA from 1 species
UACAGAGGUCUCAAGCGUUGUUCGGAUUCAUUGGGCGUAAAGAGCGUGUAGGCGGCCAGAUAAGUCCGCUGUGAAAUCUCGAGGCUCAACUUCGAGCUGUCGGUGGAAACUGUCUGGCUAGAGUCCGGAAGAGGAGAAUGGAAUUCCUGGUGUAGCGGUGAAAUGCGCAGAUAUCAGGAAGAACACCCGUGGCGAAGGCGGUUCUCUGGGACGGUACUGACGCUGAGACGCGAAAGCGUGGGGAGCGAACAGG